rnacentral:rRNA from 1 species
GUACUUGGCGAUAGUAGGUAUAAGACAUCAGUUCCCGAUAGAUCACUGAAGUUAAGCAACUUUGCGCGUGGUCGGUAAACGGAUAGGUGACCAUCUGGGCAAUCGCCGACUCAACC